UACGUAGGGUGCAAGCGUUGUUCGGAAUUAUUGGGCGUAAAGCGCGUGUAGGUGGCUAGUUAAGUCGGAUGUGAAAGCCCUGAGCUCAACUCAGGAAGUGCAUUCGAUACUGGCUGGCUAGAAGAUAGUAGAGGAUGGUGGAAUUCCAAGUGUAGAGGUGAAAUUCGUAGAUAUUUGGAGGAAUACCGGCGGCGAAGGCGGCCAUCUGGGCUAUUCUUGACACUGAGACGCGAAAGCGUGGGGAGCAAACAGG
rnacentral:rRNA from 1 species